rnacentral:rRNA from 1 species
AGCUCCAAUAGCGUAUAUUAAAGUUGUUGCAGUUAAAAAGCUCGUAGUUGGAUUUGUGGUGUACUUCGGCGGCCCGUCACUAUGUGAUGGAGCUUGCUGAAGUCGCCAUCCUUGGGUGGAUCCUGUGUGGCAUUAAGUUGUCGUGCAGGGGAUGCCCAUCGUUUACUGUGAAAAAAUUAGAGUGUUCAAAGCAGGCUUAUGCCGUUGAAUAUAUUAGCAUGGAAUAAUAAGAUAGGACCUUGGUACUAUUUUGUUGGUUUGCGCACCAAGGUAAUGAUUAAUAGGGACAGUUGGGGGUAUUCGUAUUUCAUUGUCAGAGGUGAAAUUCUUGGAUUUUUGAAAGACGAACUACUGCGAAAGCAUUUACCAAGGAUGUUUUCAUUAAUCAAGAACGAAAGUA